GAUGAAGAACGUAGCGAAAUGCGAUAAGUAAUGUGAAUUGCAGAAUUCAGUGAAUCAUCGAAUCUUUGAACGCACAUUGCGCCCCUUGGUAUUCCGAGGGGCAUGCCUGUUCGAGCGUCAUUAUAACCCCUCAAGCUCAGCUUGGUGUUGGGGCCUGCUGCACUGGCAGCCCUUAAAAUCAGUGGCGGCGCCAUCUGGCUCUAAGCGUAGUAAUUCUUCUCGCUAUGGAGUCCUGGUGGAUGCUUGCCAUCAACCCCCAAUUUUUCUAUGGUUGACCUCGGACCAGGUAGGGAUACCCGCUGAACUUAAGCAUAUCAAUAAGCGGAGGA
rnacentral:misc_RNA from 1 species